rnacentral:snoRNA from 1 species
UUCUUGCUGUGAUGAUGACGACAUUCUGUCAUUUUCCUGAACCUGACUGAUGUUUUUAAGUCACUACCUCAUCUGAGCUGGUU